AGCCAACGCUGGCGGCAGGCCUAACACAUGCAAGUCGAACGGAUCCUUCGGGAUUAGUGGCGGACGGGUGAGUAACACGUGGGAACGUGCCCUUUGGUUCGGAACAACUCAGGGAAACUUGAGCUAAUACCGGAUGUGCCCUUCGGGGGAAAGAUUUAUCGCCAUUGGAGCGGCCCGCGUCUGAUUAGCUAGUUGGUGAGGUAACGGCCCACCAAGGCGACGAUCAGUAGCUGGUCUGAGAGGAUGAUCAGCCACACUGGGACUGAGACACGGCCCAGACUCCUACGGGAGGCAGCAGUGGGGAAUCUUGCGCAAUGGGCGGAAGCCUGACGCAGCCAUGCCGCGUGAAUGAUGAAGGUCUUAGGAUUGUAAAAUUCUUUCAGCGGGGACGAUAAUGACGGUACCCGCAGAAGAAGUUCCGGCUAACUUCGUG
rnacentral:rRNA from 1 species